ACGGCCGCGGUACCCUAACCGUGCGAAGGUAGCAUAAUCACUUGUCCUCUAAAUAAGGACUUGUAUCAACGGCACCACGAGGGUUGCACUGUCUCCUCCCUCUAAUCAGUGAAACUGAUCUCCCCGUGAAGAAGCGGGGAUAAAACUAUAAGACGAGAAGACCCCAUGGAGCUUCAAACUGAACAGCAACUUAAUUACUUAUUUCCCCAUAUAAUAAAGGUAUGCCUGUAAGUUUUGGGUUGGGGCGACCGCGGAGAACAAAAUAACCUCCACAGCGAAAAGAACUAAACCUUUAUCUAAGAGCCACCCCUCAAAGAAUUAGCACCCUAACGUAUAAUGACCCGAUUAUCGAUCAACGAACCAAGUUACCCUGGGGAUAACAGCGCAAUCUACUCCAAGAGCCCCUAUCGACGAGUAGGCUUACGACCUCGAUGUUGGAUCAGGGUAUCCCAGUGGUGCAGCCGCUACUAACGGUUCGUUUGUUCAACGAUUAAAACCCUACGUGAUCUGAGUUCAAACCGGAG
rnacentral:rRNA from 1 species